GUUGAAGAUAAAAUCAUUCGACGAUCGAAAACUUACGAGUGAAUUCGCCAAGACUCAACAUUAUGUUUCCCCAUCCCCGAUUUUAAACGAUAUUGAUGAAUUGCCAUUGUCGCAAACACUCAAACGUACGCCUUCGCAGAAGUCUCAGAACGAGCAAGAGGCGGAAAUUACGUCAGUGGGCAGGAAGUUUUUCAAGCGUCCCAUUCAACUGCAAACUUACAGCAAACGACGAAGAACUUGAAGAAGAUUUACGAGAAGAUCAUCGUUUUCGGAUGGGACACAUCUGUAAGAGUAUCUUAUUCUUUUUGUUUAUCUCUUAUUAUAUUGUAUUUUCUUGUCUCCUUCGAAAUUAACUGAAAAUGUAUUUACAAAAUACAUAUAAGAUUUUCAUUAAGAAAUUAUAAAUACGAGUUCACAGAA